UCAGGCUUUUACAUAGCACCAGAGACCCUCAAAAUGAAAAUUGCUAAUGGCAGUCAGUUUAUUAGAAAGAUAUGUUUUCAUCAUUGCUUCUAGAGGUCCUUGCUGUUCUCAGGAGGAUGUGGUAUGCUGCCCCGUCUCUUGCUGCGUUGGAAGACAGGCAAGUUGCCAGUUCUGGGAGAGAGAGCUGUAGCUUCAGUGCCUGCAGCUACCUGGGAGAGCCACUAGUCUCUGCAGGUUUCUAAAAGCACAGCAGAGUGGCUUGACAUGGGAGCUACUGCCUCUCACAAAUCGAAGAUAUGCUCCUCAACUGCUGGCUCAGAUGGCUGCUCACCUAUGCAGCCCAGGGCUGCUGGCUGGAAAGAGAAGAUUCCACCACUCAUCUGGCAAAGGCUGAGGCUACUGGACAACAGCAUUCCCAGCAUUUGAUAGUUCUUAAUCCAUCCUACAGUACCUCACUCAGCCUGCAGCUCUGGAUGUGUCCUGAUUUUAGAGCUUGUCAUCCCUGAACAUACCUCAGAUAAUUGUUUGAUUCUCCUCCUAAAUCCACCAGCAAUUUUUGAAA